rnacentral:rRNA from 1 species
UACGUAGGGGGCAAGCGUUAUCCGGAUUUACUGGGUGUAAAGGGAGCGUAGACGGCGUGCCAAGUCUGAUGUGAAAGGCCGGGGCCCAACCCCGGGACCGCUCUGGAAACUGCCCGGCUGGAGUGCGGGAGAGGUAAGCGGAAUUCCUAGUGUAGCGGUGAAAUGCGUAGAUAUUAGGAGGAACACCAGUGGCGAAGGCGGCUUACUGGACUGUAACUGACGUUGAGGCUCGAAAGCGUGGGGAGCAAACAGG